rnacentral:rRNA from 1 species
GCAUAUCAAUAAGCGGAGGAAAAGAAACCAACAGGGAUUGCCCCAGUAGCGGCGAGUGAAGCGGCAAAAGCUCAGAUUUGGAAUCGCUUCGGCGAGUUGUGAAUUGCAGGUUGGCGCCUCUGCGGCGGCGGCGGUCCAAGUCCCUUGGAACAGGGCGCCAUUGAGGGUGAGAGCCCCGUGGGACCGUUUGCCUACGCUCUGAGGCCCUUCUGACGAGUCGAGUUGUUUGGGAAUGCAGCUCUAAGCGGGUGGUAAAUUCCAUCUAAGGCUAAAUACUGGCGAGAGACCGAUAGCGAACAAGUACUGUGAAGGAAAGAUGAAAAGCACUUUGAAAAGAGAGUGAAACAGCACGUGAAAUUGUUGAAAGGGAAGGGUAUUGCGCCCGACAUGGAGCGUGCGCACCGCUGCCCCUCGUGGGCGGCGCUCUGGGCGUGCUCUGGGCCAGCAUCGGUUUUUGCCGCGGGAGAAGGGCGGCGGGCAUGUAGCUCUUCGGAGUGUUAUAGCCUGCCGCCGGCGCCGCGAGCGGGGACCGAGGACUGCGACUUUUGUCU